UCGACCACAUCACGUUGAAACACCCGUUCCCGUACGGUCACCGAAGUUAAGCAACAUCGAAUCUGGUCAACACUUAGAUGGGUGCCCAGUUAGGGAUACUAGGUGCUGUAAG